rnacentral:rRNA from 1 species
GCAGGCCUAACACAUGCAAGUCGAGCGGCAUCGUUUUAGUUUUUCACUUCUCCGCCGGCGAGCGGCGAACGGGUGAGUAAAAUCUGGGGAUCUACCCGAUGGAGGGGGAUAACUACUAGAAAUGGUAGCUAAUACCGCAUAAUGUCGAAAGACCAAAGGGGGGGACCUUUAGGCCUGACAUCAUCGGAUGAACCCCGACGGGAUUAGCUAGGAGGCGGGGUAAAAGCCCACCUAGGCAACGAUCCAUAGCUGGUCUGAGAGGA